rnacentral:rRNA from 1 species
UACGGAGGGUGCAAGCAUUGAUCGGAAUUACUGGGCGUAAAGGGCGCGUAGGCGGCACGAUAAGUCGGAUGUGAAAUUCCGGGGCUCAACCCCGGAGCUGCAUUUGAAACUGUCGAGCUAGAGUACAGUUAGGGUAAACGGAAUUCCACGUGUAGCGGUGAAAUGCGUAGAUAUGUGGAAGAACACCGGUGGUGAAAACGGUUUACUGGGCUGAAACUGACGCUGGGGCGCGAAAGCAUGGGGAGCAAACAGG